AUUGAACGCUGGCGGCAGGCCUAACACAUGCAAGUCGAGCGGAUGAAGGGAGCUUGCUCCUGGAUUCAGCGGCGGACGGGUGAGUAAUGCCUAGGAAUCUGCCUGGUAGUGGGGGAUAACGUCCGGAAACGGGCGCUAAUACCGCAUACGUCCUGAGGGAGAAAGUGGGGGAUCUUCGGACCUCACGCUAUCAGAUGAGCCUAGGUCGGAUUAGCUAGUUGGUGGGGUAAAGGCCUACCAAGGCGACGAUCCGUAACUGGUCUGAGAGGAUGAUCAGUCACACUGGAACUGAGACACGGUCCAGACUCCUACGGGAGGCAGCAGUGGGGAAUAUUGGACAGUGGGCGUAAGCCUGAUCCAGCCAUGCCGCGUGUGUGAAGAAGGUCUUCGGAUUGUAAAGCACUUUAAGUUGGGAGGAAGGGCAGUAAGUUAAUACCUUGCUGUUUUGACGUUACCAACAGAAUAAGCACCGGCUAACUUCGUG
rnacentral:rRNA from 1 species